UCCCAAAGAGCUGUUUGUGAGUGCGUAGG
rnacentral:piRNA from 1 species